GACGAACGCUGGCGGCGUGCUUAACACAUGCAAGUCGAACGGAAAGGCCCUGCUUGCCGGGUACUCGAGUGGCGAACAGGUGAGUAACACGUGGGUGAUCUGCCCUGCACUUCGGGAUAAGCCUGGGAAACUGGGUCUAAUACCGGAUAGGAGCCAUUUUUAGUGUGAUGGUUGGAAAGUUUUUUCGGUGUAGGAUGAGCUCGCGGCCUAUCAGCUUGUUGGUGGGGUAAUGGCCUACCAAGGCGGCGACGGGUAGCCGGCCUGAGAGGGUGGACGGCCACAUUGGGACUGAGAUACGGCCCAGACUCCUACGGGAGGCAGCAGUGGGGAAUAUUGCACAAUGGGCGCAAGCCUGAUGCAGCGACGCCGCGUGGGGGAUGACGGCCUUCGGGUUGUAAACUCCUUUCGCUAGGGACGAAGCUUUUUGUGACGGUACCUAGAUAAGAAGCACCGGCUAACUACGUG
rnacentral:rRNA from 1 species